UAGACAGAAGCCUGUUGGUUUUGGGCAUUUAGCUGUUAACUAGAAUUUUAUGGGAUCGAAGCCCAUCUGUCUAG
rfam:Pterocles gutturalis contig104305, whole genome shotgun sequence.